UACGGAAGGCAGCAGUGGGGAAUAUUGCACAAUGGGCGAAAGCCUGAUGCAGCUAUGCCGCGUGUAUGAAGAAGGCCUUAGGGUUGUAAAGUACUUUCAUCGGGGAGGAAAAAACAAAACUAAUAAUUUUAUUUCUUGACGUUACCCGAAAAAGAAGCACCGGCUAACUCCGUGCCAGCAGCCGCGGUAAUACGGAGGGUGCUAGCGUUAAUCAGAAUUACUGGGCGUAAAGAGCACGUAGGUGGUUUUUUUAAGUCAGAUGUGAAAUCCCUGGGCUUAACCUAGGAACUGCAUUUUGAAACUGAAAUACUAGAGUAUCGUAGAGGGAGGUAGAAUUCUAGGUGUAGCGGUGAAAUGCGUAGAUAUCUGGAGGAAUACCUGUGGCGAAAGCGACCUCCUAAACGAAUACUGACACUGAGGGUGCGAAAGCGUGGGGAGCAAAACAGGGAUUAGAUACC
rnacentral:rRNA from 1 species